GAUAGGUAGCGUAGAAGCUAACUCAAAUUUGUAUGGAGUUGAAAUAUUUGCCUACGUUUGUCGCUAGGGGCGCUGUUCCAACUGAAUACAAAUUUGAGUUGACUUUUACGUUAUCGA
rnacentral:pre_miRNA from 9 species